GGUCCUAUACAUGCAAGUCGAGCGAACUGAUUAGAAGCUUGCUUCUAUGACGUUAGCGGCGGACGGGUGAUUAACACGUGGGCAACCUGCCUGUAAGACUGGGAUAACUCCGGGAAACCGGAGCUAAUACCGGAUAACAUUUUUUCUUGCAUAAGAGAAAAUUGAAAGAUGGUUUCGGCUAUCACUUACAGAUGGGCCCGCGGUGCAUUAGCUAGUUGGUGAGGUAACGGCUCACCAAGGCAACGAUGCAUAGCCGACCUGAGAGGGUGAUCGGCCACACUGGGACUGAGACACGGCCCAGACUCCUACGGGAGGCAGCAGUAGGGAAUCUUCCGCAAUGGACGAAAGUCUGACGGAGCAACGCCGCGUGAGUGAUGAAGGCUUUCGGGUCGUAAAACUCUGUUGUUAGGGAAGAACAAGUACAAGAGUAACUGCUUGUACCUUGACGGUACCUAACCAGAAAGCCACGGCUAACUACGUGCCAGCAGCCGCGGUAAUACGUAGGUGGCAAGCGUUAUCCGGAAUUAUUGGGCGUAAAGCGCGCGCAGGCGGUUUCUUAAGUCUGAUGUGAAAGCCCACGGCUCAACCGUGGAGGGUCAUUGGAAACUGGGGAACUUGAGUGCAGAAGAGAAAAGCGGAAUUCCACGUGUAGCGGUGAAAUGCGUAGAGAUGUGGAGGAACACCAGUGGCGAAGGCGGCUUUUUGGUCUGUAACUGACGCUGAGGCGCGGAAGCGUGGGGAGCACAAAGGAUUUAUUA
rnacentral:rRNA from 2 species